rnacentral:lncRNA from 1 species
UUUUUUUGCCUCAAAAAGUGACAUUUAUUCAAAGAAAAAAAAUGACAAGAUGUCUAUCCCUUGGCUCCCUUCCUUCCCCUCUCCUGCUGCUCCUCAGCCCCCCGAGAUUGAGCCCUGGCUGGGGCUGGGUGGCAGGACAGCCCCUCAGAUGAGGUCAGCAACAUUGGGGGCAUUUCCUCAAUGGAGGUGUUGUAGAAGGUCUCAAUGUCUCGAAGAGUCCUCUUGUCUUCUUCUGUCACCAUGUUAAUAGCCACAUCUUUACGGCCAAACUGUCCACCUCGACUGAUUCUGUGGAUAUAGUUUUCCCUGUUGGUCAGUGGUAAUCAAAACUCUGCUAGAGCCAGAACGAAACUCCCUCGUGAUCACGUCUCGCUCCUUUUGGUCCAUAUCUCCAUGCAUGGCGGAGACAGUGAAAUCUCGAGCAUGCAUCUUCUCGGUGAGCCAGUCCACCUUCCUCCGGGUAUUGAUGAAGAUGACUGCCUGGGUGAUGGUCAGGGUUUCAUACAAGUCACAUAGUGUGUCCAGCUUCCACUCCUCUCGUUCCACGUUGAUGUAGAAUUGGCGGAUACCCUCCAGGGUCAACUCUUCCUUCUUGACAAGAAUCCGAAUGGGGUCCCUCAUGAACUUCUUGAUCACCUCAAGCACAUCAGAAGGCAUUGUAGCUGACAGCAAAACUACCUGGGUGUUGCUGUUGAGCUUUUGGAAUAUGUCAUAGAUCUGGUCCUUGAAUCCACGGCUUAACAUUUCGUCAGCUUCAUCCAGUACAAACAUCUUGAUGUAUUUGGGAGAUAGGUAUCUCCGGUUAAGCAUAUCAAACACACAGCUAGGGGUACCCACGAUGAUGUGGGGAGCUUCCAUCUGCAGUUUCUGCACCUCAGCACGCA